AGCUCUUCCGGCACCUGCUCUUCAGGCACCUGCCCUGUGCUGGCCCCUCCUGCAACAAUCGGGUAAGGGGACCCAGGACCACAGGGAGGCUCCAGGGAGCCCCGUGGGUGCCUCCAGCAGCCGUCGGGGGUCUCUGUCCCUCACACCUCAUCUGUGAGGGUCCCUUGGCAAGGCAGCCCCUCCCGCUUGCCCAGGGUGGCAGGCCGGCUGCCCGCAUGCAGAGGCUGCUGGGAGGGUCCCCUCAUGCUCUCCCCUCCCCGUCCCCUGCCUACCCAGCCAGGGCUCUCGCUCCCAGCAGCCAACGGUACAGCCCGCCUCGGUCUCUGGGGUGCUAGAUACACUCUGCCUGGAGCCCAGGAGCCCUCACCUCAGUCGGCGCUGCAGAACCAGCCCAGGAGAGCAGCUGGCCUGUCAUCUGCUGAGGAGCGGAGGCGUGCGGGGAUCCGGAGGGGAAGGGGGUCUGGAGUGCUCCGGGGGAGACCCUCAGGGACUGCCCUGCUGCUGGCAGCGCCUGGGCCCACGGCUGAUGGAGGCGUCUCCUGGCCCCCAGGGCUGUGCCCAGGACUGCAAUGGCCUCCCACACUACCUCACUACCCUGGUCCAGGCUCACUGACAGAUGAGGAAACUGAGGCAGGGGCCCCGGUCUCACGGCCAUUGGUGCAGAGCUGGGAUCCACGACCAGAUUCUACCAAUUAAAAAAAGGAAAUGUGGGCCGGGCGUGGUGGCUCAUGCCUGUGAUCCCAGCACUUUGGGAGGCCGAGGCAGGUGGAUCACCCAAGGUCAGGAGUUCAAGAGCAGCCUGGCCAACAGGGUGAAAUCCCAUCUCUCCUAAAAAAACAAAACAAAACAAAACAAAACAAAACAAAAACAGAAUUAGCCGGGCAUGGUGGUGGGCACCUGUAGUCCCAGCUACUGGGGAGGCUGAGGCAGAAGAAUCACAUAAACCCAGGAGGCCGGAGGUUCCAACGAACUAGGAUCGCACCACUGCACUCCAGCCUGGGCAACAAAGUGAGACUCUGUCUCAAAAAAAAAAAAAAAAAGAAAAAAAAAGGAAAAGAGAAAGAAAAAGAAAAAAAGUGACAAUUCACAUAGACCCCUGAAAACCUCUGGGCUUAGGGACAGCAAGAGCCUUCCUGGGGCCUCCUGGACCAUGUCAGGGCCUCCGAGGCCUCUGGGACGCCAUCCCUGCUCAGCUUCCUCACUCUCCUUUUGCCCGAGAACAAGCUCUGUUCUGGCCACGGCGUUGUCUACACAACACAGCUAACUGCUUUGCCAUCAGCCCUCAUACAGAUUUAAAACACACACACACACACACACAAAAGAUAAGGUUAUGGGCUGCACUGCGUCCCCCAAAUUCACAGAGUGAAGUCCCGACUUCAGGAUCCGCCUGUAUUCAGACACAGGGUCUUUACAGAGGCGACAAAGGUGAAACAAGGUUACCAGGGUGGGCUCUGACCUGACCUACCGGCGUCCUUAAAAGAGGAGGACACAGACACGCAGGAGGGGCGGCCACGCAAGGACACAGGGAGGUGGUGCCGCCUGCCUGCAAGGAGAGGCCUCGUAACAGCCACGCCGCACCUCAACCCGGGACGCCCCCAGGACUGGAGAGAACCCACAUCUGCUGUGGGAGCACCUGGCCACGGUGUGUGCGAGGCGGCCCCGGCAAACUCACGUAGACAGGACCCAGCUCCCCCAGGCCAUCUUUCAAUGGGAGAGGGUGACCCAGUGUUUUCCCAAAACCCAGCACGGUCCCCAGGACGCGUUCCCCACCAGGGUGGGCUGGGCCGGAUCACAGCCCAGGCUCCCAGAGACUUCCGGUGCCACAUCAGCUCACAGAGCUUCCUGUUUCAGCCCAGAUCAGAAACACCAUGAGACGCCCAAGGAGGAAUAUUUUAAUACUUCUGCUAUUGGCCUCACCCAAAACCAGAAAGUGCAGGGAGUCGUGAAAAUGAAGAAAAUGAUCAGAACCUGAGGGACCAGGCCGUGCCAUCCGAAGACAAUCCUGAGAUCUCUCUCCGGGCCCUGCCCUGCCCCUCCCUCUCUGCCCCCAGCAGGAGCCCCCUUUUCCCCUGGGGCCAAGAACCCAGGCCACACAGGGUGCAGAAGACCCGCCAGGGAGGCCACAGCAGGGGACAGAAAAGAAGGCCCGUCGCUGGCAUGAGGGGUGGCUUCCAUGUGGGGAAACUGAGUCAGUAGCAAUUCCAGAUUGGAGGUCCUAACCAGGUCAGGUAUGCGGGCACCGCACCGUCAGCCAAGACCACAGCCCCACCUCCUCAACAGCUGGGCCCACGCCAUCGGGGGGGCGUUCCAAGAGACUUAAAAAAACCAUAACCCAACCCCGAGGAGGUGCCCUCUGAGGUGGGGUGUCCCAUACUAGAGUCAGGGUGACCUGAGGACAGGCCAGGCACACAGGGCCACCCUGAGUAAAGACGGGGGACCCAGGAGGGCCUGGGACUAGCCAGGAUGGUGGCUGCUGUGUUGAGAGGGCAUCUGGGACCCCAACCCGCAGCCCCUCGUCUCCUUAUGAGCCAUGGGGCCUCAGGAAAUGCACCCCAUUUCGUGCCUCAGUUUCCCUCCUGGGCUGAACUGUGUCCCCCACAGCCAUGUGUUGAGGUCCUGACCCCAGACCUGUGAGUGUGACCUUAUUUGGAGGCAGGGUCUGCACAGAGGUAACGAGGUUAAAGCAAGGUCAGCUGGGUGGGCCCUGACCCACCCAGACACACAGAGAGAGAACAGGCCACAUGACACGGGGCCGAGGCCGUGGCAGUGCUUCCGCCAGCCAAGAAGCACGGAAGACCUCAGGCCACAAAGCCAGGAGCGGCCUGGGACAGACCCCACUCACGGCCUCGGGGGCCAGCCCUGCUCACACCUUGACCUUGGACU
rnacentral:lncRNA from 1 species